rnacentral:lncRNA from 1 species
CAACUUAGUACCUUCAAUAACUAAGCAAGGUUCCACAAACUCCAGAUCUAAGGCCAAUCCUUGAAGCUUCAAUGAUUCCCCUCUUUCUUCUUCCUUCAAAAUCACCCACAAAUCGCUUGGAAGCUUGAAUGAGCAACAAUGGGGCUUAGGGAUCAGUGUUCUAGGUGAAAGAGGCAGUAAAGGAACCCUAGGGGAGAGAAUGAGACGUUUAAAUAGGCUCCAAGUCCCGGAUUUAGGGUUUUCCUCAUUCAGACCAGACACGCCGAGUCUCCUUAGCCGACUCGCCGAGUCGGUCACUUACUCCUUGACCCGGAUCCCGCUCGGACUCGCCGAGUUCCUCCUUGGAAUCUUUGAGUCGUCCCUUAAACUUAGGGUUUUCUUUCCUUUCUUGGCCUUCCUAACUUUGGGUGUUACAACUCUCCCCCACUUAAACUAAACUUCAUCCUCGAAGUUUGCUAUGGCCAACUGCCUGCGAUCUGCUUCCAAAUACUCUACUAAUUGAUCCAACUCCAGCUGCCUACCUUCGCUGGUAUUUCGCCCGGUCAUUCCGAAUAACAUUAAUCCUUGCGGAUAAUCAUCUCGGGUCAACCCCGACCCUGAACAUUCUGGAAACACAACUUACUCAACCGACAAUCCUUCUGGUACUCACCGAGUACUGCACUGAACCCAUAGGGGUUCACCCCUCCUUUCCUUGUGCUAUUUCCUUGCCUUCCCAAGGCGAUGCUCCAUAACCAACUAUUUCCUCUGUCACUGUGAAGAUCCUAUCUUCACCAAACCAUUACUCCCGCUACUACCAAUAUGGGUCGUUAUCGCCAGUAUCCACUGGGCAUUUCUUUCUACUAUAAUUUGGUGUCGAGCACCCCACGAUCAACUAACUGAAUUCCACCAUACACUGCAUACCCGCACUGUUACUGACUGCAAUUUCUGCUAUUCCUCAUCUGCCUUCCGAAUGACUGAGACCACCCUGGUCCCUACCGUCCUACCAAUAUCUGGAUUAUCGGCUCCCCUCAGUUGCUAGUCCCCACACAACUCCUAGUCGCUCCCAGUGAACUAACUGCAUUGGACCGAAGUUCGGAACUCACGGAAUCAUCACAUAGCAUAACAUGUCAACUAGCAUGAACACAUGUACUGCAUAAUGCAUCGGACCAUAGUCCGGAACACAUAACUCAUACCAUGUCUGCAUCACAAAGACACCAAUUAACUGCUCAAUCUAUUCUACCAUUCAGGCACUACAAUCUUAGGAUCCCCGAUCCCUUAUCUUGACACUAAGAUCCCUACCAGGUCCCACCUGUGCUGCUAAAACUCACGGGCCUCGCCCACGGGUCUCACCCGCCUCUAUCCUUCUAGUCCUACCUGUCUAGCCACUCUCGUUCGGGCCUCACCCACGGGUCUCACCCAACCAUACUACUGAGCAACCUUGCUCUCAGGUCUCACCUAUACUGCUCCUCUCAUACAGGCCUUGCCCACGGGUCUCACCCAACUAUAUAUUGGAGCGGCCUCUCCCAAGGUCUCACCUCUCUAGGGCUAUACAGGCAAACUCCCUAUCAUUCUCAUCCACUACCCAUUCCUGAUCCCUAUCUAAUCACUAGGAGAUAAGGGCCUCGCCCCAACCCCGCCAACGAAGCUACUAUGGAAUGCUACGGCUUACCCGUAGUCUUACAUCACCUUCCAUUACCGACUACUAGUGAAUGCUACGGCUGCCCCGUAGUCUUACAACACUUUUCCACCACUGACUGCUAAUACGAAAGCACCUUGUGCUAUCAGUUCUCAAGAUCCUCCUUCUGACUCACUUGAGUCCUACAGGCGAUCCUCCAACCUGAAUUCCCAACCACAUACUAACUAUCAUCAAUACACGUACUAGCUGAGGGGGAGUUUCUCAAACUCCCGACCCUGAACUCCUCAAUCCAUCAAAUGUUGUGCUACUUCUGUUUCUUCUCAGAGGUCGAGUACUCAUCCUGGAUCCGCGUGCUCUUACCUUUGCCCACUCGGAGGAUUCUGCCCCACUUCGUUCCUGCUUACCCCUUGCUGCUCAAUUCUCGAAGAGAAAUCCCAAUCCUUGCUACCAUUCCGUAAUCAAUCUGCUGAGGGACCCAAGCUUACCAUAGCUAGGGAUCUAACCAAUCCAUCUCUAAAUUAUACAACUCCGAACUAGCGAGACGUACCAAGUUCCUCCCAAGCAUGCUACAGUUACUGCAUCCUAUAUAACCUUCUCCAAUAGGGCACAUCCCCUAACUACCAUUCAAAUAUCCAAGGUAUGCAGAUGACAUAUAACUCAAUCACAAGCAAGCCGCACAAAAAAAUAAAAUNCAAACCGCAAAAAAAAUAAAAUGCUCAUACCGAUAAUGAUGCAGAACCAUAACAAUACAAUCAUGCACAAAUAAAAGAACUGAAAACGGAAGUGGCAUACCUGCAACGUCCGGUGUUGCUCGUGCCUCCAAGGUAGUCAUCUGAAAAGCCAUGCCUCCUACCGCAGGCGCCUCUGUGCGGCCCUGACGGCCGUCUAUGAUCCUCAAAGUUGCAGGGGUAGGUGCCAUCACCUGUCCUACCGAAAACAAACUGGGGCAAUGGGCCUUCUUGUGGCCCCGCUAAUUUCAGUGAAAACAUAUCAAGUCUGAUCCUUACAUGGUGGUAAUAGUACAAUCCCUACUAAAAUGACCCAUCUGACCACACUUGAAGCAGCCAGACUCACCACCGCUACCACUCCUGCACGCACCCCCGUGCGCCCUGCUACACUUCCCUCACCGGUUGCGGUCCUGAUAAUCCCUCGAUCUCGAAUUCGAUCCCUUAGGCCUUUUUCCCGAGCCUAUAACUGUCUGAAUCUCAUCCGGCUUUCUCUUCCGGAUCUGCUCCAAAUCAAUCUCCCUCUCUCUAGCUCGCGCGAUCAUAUCCUCCAACGUUUUGCAGCUGGACCUGCUCACAAACUGUCUGAUGUCAUCCCUCAACAUCUCAUGGUAUCCAACCUUCUUCAUCUCCUCAUCCGCGACAUACUGCGGUACAAGAAGAGCUCUCUCCCUGAACUUGGCGGUGAUCUUCGCCACAGUCUCAGUGGUCUGCGUCAAAUCCUGAAACUCCCGUGCCAACUGCUGUACCUCAAUAAUUGGCGNACCUGGCUGAAAAAUCACCCCUUGUCAUCGCCUCCAACGCGGCAUCAUCACCCAAAGCAUGACCAAUCUCUUCCCACCAAUCCCUCGCUCUAUCCUUCAGAAGACAGGAAGCAAGUCUGACCUUGUCCCCUUCGGGACACCGGCUCGUACGGAAUGUGUUGGCAACAUUAGCCGACCACCUGCUGCUAGCGAUAGGGUCCUUAGCCCCAUGAUAAUCUGGCGCCCCGCAAGCCCUGAACUCUCGAAAUGUCAAAGUAUGCACUCCCAUCAAUGCCAUCAUCUUGGUACUGAAGGCUCCCAGCCUCUCAUCCAAAAUCUCCAAUAUACCCUCCUUGACCAUGCCAAAGAUCACAUGAGUCUGAUCUAGAAUAUUGCGCGUAACCUCAGCUAAUAUCAACUCCCUCAUUCGCUCCUUGAGCUGCUCGGCUCCUGAACCCCAGCUUGAUACCUCGCCGGCGCCUGAUCCGCCCAAUGGUCUCUCUUGCAACGUCACCAUGCUGAAAAUAUAAUACAUCCUCUAUCAGAAUACUUAUAACUCAUGCGAGACCAAAUACACACCCUACCAGGUUCCUGGUCUUGUCUCGGCCUUUCCCAAAUCGAGUACAGAUCCUCUGCUUUCAGUAGUACGGGCCCAUACUACCUUCCACAUCUAUCCGUACCUUCCUCAGGAAUUGCUUCGACUCCACCAGGUCCCUUUUCCACUACUACUGCUCCCAGCACUAUCUCAUCCUAGGCUUACCCUAGGGAACCUCCGACUCAACUGAAACCAAUCCUCAGCUGCUGAAGGUCUCCUUGUGAUGCCAAUUGGCCAUCACCUGAAUACCAUCACAUGUGACGACGCUCAGAUAAUCCUUUGAGUAAAAGACUCGUCCUUACUACGGUUGGACUUAGACAAGAGCUGCACAAUAGGGCCAAAUCUAGUACUCUCAGAUUAUUCAACCCUGAUGACAUGUGAGGUGACGUAUUCACCUAAUGGCUAACUCCCAUCACUUAGAAUCCCACAAUGCACAAAGCAAGCAACAUUAGGACAAGGGAGAAUCUAACCAUAACAUACUCAAGCAAUCAUAUCCACAUAGCAAGAAUCUGUACAAGCACGCAACGCAAACUCAUAAACUCAGGGAUAACCUAAACAGGCUAUCCUACUACUGUCUAAUCAGCACUAUCAUGCAGCUCAAAGCACAUAUAAUAGGCACAUAAGGCAUCCUCCCUAGAUCCUUAGUCAUAAUCUAGCAUGAUGUUCUAUUAAUUGAUAAUCAAAACAUAACUUGUAUGGGUAUUUUGGGGUACUUACUUGAGCUCGGCUGAUUGCAUGCACCACACCCUUUUCUCUUAUCAAAAUUCCUUUCUUUCUGAAUUCUUUUUUCUUUUCUAAAACUGUUUUCUUUCUCAAAACUCUCUUUUAACAAUUUGUCUGUUCAUUUUGAAAACCUCUAUACCAAUUCCUCAGUUUGAGUUCAGAUACACCCGAGAGUAUAUCCGAAUCCCUCAAACCAAGGCUCUGAUACCAUCUUGUAACGUCCCAAAAUUUAAGACUAAAAAUUUCUUUUAAUAAACAUUACUUAAAGCAGAAUCACCAAUCCAAAACAUAAUCAGAGUAUUAAUUUUCAAAUCGUAUGUUCAUUAUCAGAGUAAAACAUUCCCAGACUGUCCAAUCUAUGGUGUGUGCCAUGCGAUCACCCCGAGCUCUUCCCUCCGCUACCAGAAGUACCUGAAACCAAAAUUGAAAACCGUAAGCACGAAGCUUAGUGAGUUCCCCACCCUACCACAUACCAUGCAUAACCACAUACUACACAUACUGGGCCACACCCGCUAUUCUGGGCCUCGCCCCCUACCUCGGGCCUCGCCUGNUCGAGCCCCGCUCGGAUACAAAUCUGUUUCACUUAGGGCUCUCCUGUCACAGGGCCUCGCCCGCUAACAUAUAAUAGCACAUAAAACAUAUCACAUCACAUAAGCUAAACACAUACUAACAGAUCUUGUCCUAAGGCCUCGCCUGUCUCUGGGCCUCGCCCUUGUCAUGCUACUGAUGAGUCAUGGACCCUCGUCCAUACUCCUACUGAUAGUGAGGUACGGGCCCAGCCCACCGUCAGUCCUUCCCUAACUUGGGCCUCUCCCCUUAUCUGCUGCUAGUGAGAUGUGGAACACCAUCCACACUCUGCUAUUGGUGAGUUACAGGACCUCGCCCUCACUCACCUCCCUACCAGGCACAUACAAGUAUCACACAGAAAACAAGUAUAAACUAUCACAUAAACCAUUCCUUGGGCACCCGCCCGCUAUGAUUGGACCUUGUUCUGAAUAUUAUACUAGCAUAUUGUGCCUAGGGCUAACCCCCGGGUCUUCUACUCAUAACUACAUGGGCCGACAUUAUGGCCGUAGACCCAUUCACACAAAAGGGAAACUCACCUGCACUUGCUGAACACGCUGAUAACUCCUCUAGCUGCUGCCCGGCAACUCUCUAAACUCCUGCACCACUAGCUCCCCGACCUACCAAUAUCAAUGCAACACUUAGUCUAACUAUUCCCCGAAAGUCAACUAAGUCAACUCUGGUCAACGGUACUUGCCGAGUCUGCCUACUGACUUGCCGAGUUCAUAUUCUCAGAGUCCUUCCAUUCGCGACUCGACUCGCCGAGUCAGUCCAUGACUCGUCGAGUCUACCGAUUUCCGAGUCCUGACCUGUCCAACUCACUGAGUCUCCACUUGACUCACUGAUUCGAGUCUCAACUCGAAAGGUUUGGGGUUUCGCGUCCUGACUCACCGAGUCCAAGAACAGACUCGCCGAGUCCAAGGCAAUCUUCAUCCUACUCUACGAGUUGUUCACCCCACUCGUCGAGUUCCUCAUAAUCUUCAUGCUACUCACCGAGUCUACACAAAGGACUCGCCGAGUCCAUUCAGAUCUUCAUACAUGCAGAUGACUUUUGAGUCAUGCAUGGACUCCAAACUGUAGACCUACCCUUCCCAAGCCUAUUCCUUACGUAAAGUUGCAAACUUUACGUGUAGAGAAGGAGAUCUAGGCUAAAUACACAGUAAACUAGGGUUUAAGGCAAGGAGGCUCCAUAAUCAGCUCCAGGGUAGUUACUUUAUGCUUCACUAGUCCAAAAUGUGCUUAGAUCCGAAGUAGCAACUUCAGAUCUGGCUUCUAACUCAAGUAGAUAACUAAUCAUGGCUAAAAAACCCCAAAACUCACAACUAGAAUAGAUCUACAUGAAGGAAACGACUUAGUACCUUCAAUAACUCAGCAAGGUUCCACAAACUCCAGAUCUAAGGCCAUUCCUUCAAGCUUCAAUGAUUCCCCUCUUUCUUCUUCCUUCAAAAUCACCCAAAAAUAGCUUGGAAGCUUGAAUGAGCAACAAUGGGGCUUAGGGUUCGAUGUUCUGGGUGAAAGAGGCAGUAAAGGAACCCUAGGGGAGAGAAUGAGACGUUUAA